rnacentral:rRNA from 1 species
AGAGUUUGAUCCUGGCUCAGAACGUACGCUGGCGGCACGCCUAACACAUGCAAGUCGAACGAAGUAGCAAUACUUAGUGGCAGACGGGUGAGUAACAUGUAGGUAUCUGCCCUUUGGCCUGGAAUAACACGAGGAAACUUGUGCUAAUACCGGAUAAGUCUUUACGGAGAAAGCUUUAUGCACCAUUGGAUGAGCCUGCACUUGAUUAGUUUGUUGGUGGGGUAAUGGCCUACCAAGACUGUGAUCAAUAGCUGAUUUGAGAGGAUGAUCAGCCACAUUGGGACUGAGACACGGCCCAAACUCCUACGGGAGGCAGCAGUGGGGAAUCUUGCACAAUGGAGGAAACUCUGAUGCAGCGAAGCCGCGUGAGUGAAGAAGGCCUUUGGGUUGUAAAGCUCUUUCGUCGGGGAAGAAAAUGACUGUACCCGAAUAAGAAGGUCCGGCUAACUUCGUGCCAGCAGCCGCGGUAAUACGAAGGGACCUAGCGUAGUUCGGAAUUACUGGGCUUAAAGAGUUCGUAGGUGGUUGAAAAAGUUGGUGGUGAAAUCCCAGAGCUUAACUCUGGAACUGCCAUCAAAACUUUUCAGCUAGAGUAUGAUAGAGGAAAGCAGAAUUUCUAGUGUAGAGGUGAAAUUCGUAGAUAUUAGAAAGAAUACCAAUUGCGAAGGCAGCUUUCUGGAUCAUUACUGACACUGAGGAACGAAAGCAUGGGUAGC